rnacentral:pre_miRNA from 1 species
UUUUCAGUAUAAGUAUGUCCCAUAUAUUAUUUGGGACAUGCUUAUAUUAAAA